GUGCUCAGUUCACAGCAUAUAUACUAAAAUUGGAACAGUACGGAGAUUAGCAUGGCCUCUGCAUGAGGAUGCCACGCAAAUUUGUGGAACACUCUAUACUUUU
ensembl:snRNA U6 U6 spliceosomal RNA